UACGGAGGGGGCAAGCGUUAUUCGGAAUUAUUGGGCGUAAAGGGCGCGUAGGCGGCUAGAUGUGUCAAAGGUGAAAUCCCUCGGCUCAACUGAGGAACUGCCUUUGAAACUGUCUGGCUUGAGGCCGGGAGAGGGUAGCGGAAUUCCCAGUGUAGCGGUGAAAUGCGUAGAUAUUGGGAGGAACACCAGUGGCGAAGGCGGCUACCUGGACCGGUAUUGACGCUGAGGAGCGAAAGCCAGGGGAGCAAACGGG
rnacentral:rRNA from 1 species